AAUCAACGCUGGCGGCGUGCCUCAGACAUGCAAGUCGAACGCGAAGGGCUCCUUCGGGGGCCGAGUAGAGUGGCGCACGGGUGAGUAACACGUAGGUAAUUUGCCUUUGGGUGGGGAAUAACUCAGGGAAACUUGAGCUAAUACCGCAUAAUGCAGCGGCUCGACAUCGAGACAGUUGUUAAAGCGGGGGGAUCGCAAGACCUCGCGCCUGAAGAGAAGCCUGCGGCAGAUUAGCUAGUUGGUAGGGUAAUGGCCUACCAAGGCGACGAUCUGUAACCGGCCUGAGAGGGCGGUCGGUCACACUGACACUGACAUACGGGUCAGACUCCUACGGGAGGCAGCAGUCGGGAAUUUUGGGCAAUGGGCGCAAGCCUGACCCAGCAACGCCGCGUGAAGGAUGAAAUCCCUCGGGA
rnacentral:rRNA from 1 species